GCGCAAUGCGUACGCUUUUCAGAUGCCUAAAAAGCAUCUGGAAUAAGGGCCGGGCAAGACCGGUGCCAGCCGCCGCGGUAACACCGGCGGCUCAAGUGGUGGCCGCUAUUAUUGGGCUUAAAGGGUCCGUAGCCGGACCAGUUAGUCCCUUGGGAAAUCUUACGGCUUAACCGUAAGGCUGCCAAUGGAUACUGCUGGUCUUGGGACCGGGAGAGGUAAGAGGUACCUUAGGGGUAGGAGUGAAAUCCUGUAA
rnacentral:rRNA from 1 species